GGCUCGAUGGUCUAGUGGUAUGAUUCUUGCUUUGGGCUUUUCAGUAUAGGAAUAUGCAAUUGCAAGAGGUCUCGGGUUCGAAUCCCGAUCGAGCCC